rnacentral:rRNA from 1 species
AUGAACGCUGGCGGCGUGCCUAAUACAUGCAAGUCGCGCGAACGGACGAGAAGCUUGCUUCUCUGAUGUUAGCGGCGGACGGGUGAGUAACACGUGGAUAACCUACCUAUAAGACUGGGAUAACUUCGGGAAACCGGAGCUAAUACCGGAUAAUAUUUUGAACCGCCUGGUUCAAAAGUGAAAGACGGUCUUGCUGUCACUUAUAGAUGGAUCCGCGCUGCAUUAGCUAGUUGGUAAGGUAACGGCUUACCAAGGCAACGAUGCAUAGCCGACCUGAGAGGGUGAUCGGCCACACUGGAACUGAGACACGGUCCAGACUCCUACGGGAGGCAGCAGUAGGGAAUCUUCCGCAAUGGGCGAAAGCCUGACGGAGCAACGCCGCGUGAGUGAUGAAGGUCUUCGGAUCGUAAAACUCUGUUAUUAGGGAAGAACAUAUGUGUAAGUAACUGUGCACAUCUUGACGGUACCUAAUCAGAAGGCCACGGCUAACUACGUG